rnacentral:lncRNA from 1 species
GCUUGAUUUUCUAUUGCCUUUCUUGAAAUCCUUGAUUUUCUUUCUUUGCCUAGGCCAACUCUUCUUCUCAAUCCUUAAGGCCUUCAUGCUAGCUUUACUGAUGUCUUCAACUUUGAAGAGUUUCAACCCCUUUCGGAUGCCCUUGUGAAGACCUUUGGUGUAUUUCAUAAAAACUGUAUAAUCAUCGAUGAAGAUUUCAAGUGAGAUUACUUGCUUAUGAAAUUUGGUGAUAUAAUCCUAAAUAGAUUAGAUGAG